rnacentral:lncRNA from 1 species
GUGAACGAAGAAGGCGUCCCGGCAUCGGAGGAGGAAGACAAUCUGUCUCUGCUGACCGCACUGCUGGAAGAAAAUGAGUCAGCCUUGGAUUGUAAUUCAGAAGAAAAUAACUUCUUGACGCGGGAAAAUGGCGAGCCCGACGCAUUUGAUGAGCUCUUUGAUGCCGACGGCGACGGUGAAUCUUAUACAGAAGAGGCUGAUGAUGGAGAAACAGGAGAGACAAGAGACGAAAAGGAAAAUCUGGCCACUCUCUUUGGAGAUAUGGAGGACUUAACAGAUGAAGAAGAAGUUCCCGCAUCACAGUCAACUGAAAAUAGGGUCCUCCCUGCUCCUGCCCCCAGGCGAGAGAAAACGAAUGAAGAGUUGCAAGAGGAAUUAAGGAAUUUGCAAGAGCAAAUGAAGGCCUUACAAGAGCAGCUAAAAGUAACAACAAUUAAACAGACAGCAAGCCCAGCCCGUCUGCAAAAAU